rnacentral:pre_miRNA from 1 species
UGGUUAAAUUCAAUGUAUAUAGUCCAAUCUUUUGAAGUACUAGUACAUCAGCUCUAAGCUGAUGUGGUUGAGUAGUUCAAUAGAUUGGACUAUAUAUAUUAAAUUUGACUAA